rnacentral:lncRNA from 1 species
UCCUCUGCCAAGGUCACCUUUUCGUGAUCAUUUACAUAGAAUACAAAUAUUUUCACCUUUUUUGCCCAUUCAGAAGACUGUGUACAAAUUCUACUCCCCCAAAUUCCUUUGAACAAAUUUUCCCAUCGUGUUUCUUUCAAGUCCCUGACCAUCCACGUAUAUGGUCACAUGUCUUUCCGUUUAUGCUUCCAUAGUAUACAUCCAGGUGCACAAUGAAGUCCACCCAGUGGGAAGAUUUCCCUUUCAGUGAUGCACCAGAAAGGGGCUGAGUCCUGCAAAUUUCACCUUUGGGUAAUGUUGCAUAUCAUGCAGAACCAUCAGUACAAGCUGAGAAAGAAGACUAAUAGGAGUGGUGAGGGGUCAUAAUAAUUUAGCCCACUUCUUCAUGUACCUUACUUAUGCAUUUAAAUCUUGCUGGAGCCUGAUCUUAUAUAUAACCACUUCCAUUUGAUGCUGGAGCACUGCUGUGCAUACUCAGCUGUAUGGUUUUGUGAAACACUCAGUUCAUGACAGACAGUUCUGGUCACAUAGUAAUAUGGUGGUCCAUGGUUAAGUGUUCAGACCCAGUAGCAGGCUGAGAGCUGGUUCUCAAAAGGAGGAUAAUUAUCUAGGGGUGAUAGCAGGGCUUUGCUCCAAAUUCCUCAAGAGCUUCACUGUGAUUCACCUAUAAUAAAUACUCUGUCACACACUCCAAAUAGCGUCUCUAACUGCC